rnacentral:rRNA from 1 species
GAUGAACGCUGGCGGCGUGCCUAAUACAUGCAAGUCGAGCGAACGGACGAGAAGCUUGCUUCUCUGAUGUUAGCGGCGGACGGGUGAGUAACACGUGGAUAACCUACCUAUAAGACUGGGAUAACUUCGGGAAACCGGAGCUAAUACCGGAUGAUAUUUUGAACCGCAUGGUUCAAAAGUGAAAGACGGUCUUGCUGUCACUUAUAGAUGGAUCCGCGCUGCAUUAGCUAGUUGGUAAGGUAACGGCUUACCAAGGCAACGAUGCAUAGCCGACCUGAGAGGGUGAUCGGCCACACUGGAACUGAGACACGGUCCAGACUCCUACGGGAGGCAGCAGUAGGGAAUCUUCCGCAAUGGGCGCAAGCCUGACGCAGCCACGCCGCGUGAGUGAUGAAGGUCUUCGGAUCGUAAAACCCUGUUAUUAGGGAAGAACAUAUGUGUAAUUAUCUGUGCACAUCUUGACGGUACCUAAACAGAAAGCCACGGCUAACUACGUG